CACUCCCCAUUUACCAUAUGAACUAUUCCUAUACCCUAUGACCUAGUCCUGACGUGUCCAAGCAGUGGGAGGGCGGAAGUGAACUGAAAUUUCGGCGUUUUUCUUGUUUUCGGACAGAAUUUCACGUCUAACCAUGGAAACUUUGUACCACCAGACCAACAAGAUGGUCCACGAGGUUCAGAAUGGGAUGGGUAGACUGGAGAUAGCGGGAGCGGAUGAAGUACACUUGGUAGAGAA